rnacentral:rRNA from 1 species
CGCUGGCGGCGCGCCUAACACAUGCAAGUCGAACGAGAGAGAAGGAGCUUGCUUCUUCGAUCGAGUGGCGAACGGGUGAGUAACGCGUGAGGAACCUGCCUCAAAGAGGGGGACAACAGUUGGAAACGACUGCUAAUACCGCAUAAGCCCACGGGUCGGCAUCGACCUGAGGGAAAAGGAGCAAUCCGCUUUGAGAUGGCCUCGCGUCCGAUUAGCUAGUUGGUGAGGUAACGGCCCACCAAGGCGACGAUCGGUAGCCGGACUGAGAGGUUGAACGGCCACAUUGGGACUGAGACACGGCCCAGACUCCUACGGGAGGCAGCAGUGGGGAAUAUUGCACAAUGGGGGAAACCCUGAUGCAGCGACGCCGCGUGGAGGAAGAAGGUCUUCGGAUUGUAAACUCCUGUUGUUGAGGAAGAUAAUGACGGUACUCAACAAGGAAGUGACGGCUAACUACGUGCCAGCAGCCGCGGUAAAACGUAGGUCACAAGCGUUGUCCGGAAUUACUGGGUGUAAAGGGAGCGCAGGCGGGAAGACAAGUUGGAAGUGAAAUCUAUGGGCUCAACCCAUAAACUGCUUUCAAAACUGUUUUUCUUGAGUAGUGCAGAGGUAGGCGGAAUUCCCGGUGUAGCGGUGGAAUGCGUAGAUAUCGGGAGGAACACCAGUGGCGAAGGCGGCCUACUGGGCACCAACUGACGCUGACGCUCGAAAGUGUGGGUAGCAAACAGGAUUAGAUACCCUGGUAGUCCACACCGUAAACGAUGAUUACUAGGUGUUGGAGGAUU